UUUCUUUUAUAGGUGGUCAUUGGUGCUCUUAUGGGAACUCAUUAAAUUGUAAUUUGUGUAGUUUUAAAUUUUGUUUCUACCUGAGAAUAUGAUUUUGACUGUCCCAUUAUAAAAUUGCUCCUACCUAAGAACUUGUCUGACUCAUUGUUCGUUACCACGGUGUUGUCAUAAUCCUAUGGUAAUGAUGGGUUUUACAAUUUAGUAUUUUGAGUUAGCCUAAUUUUUUUUUUAUCCUACCUAAGAGUAAAUGUAGUAGAGGACCAUUUACAUGAGUUGAAUUGAGAGGUUGGACCAAUAAUAGCAUCCAACAGCAAAAAAUUAAACUGGGUUGAUGCUGGGCCCCGUGCGGGAUCUAUCAUGAUGAACUGUGGCUUAGGUUAAGGAUUAACCCAUCUCUCAGUCCAAGACCAAUUUCUCCACGAGGCCCACGUGAGACCAAAUUGCACAUGAGGAAUGGACAUGCACAUGGGCUAUCAACUUUUUCCAAAUGACUCUUUAAUAUGGGCCGUUCAGAUCAAGAUCUGACGGUCCAUAUAAAAUGUGAAUAAUAAUUGGUCUUAUGAUCGUUCUUGUUGUUGUAUUAUCGAACAAAAACUGAUUUGGAUGAAUAGUAUAUUUACCCGGGUUGAAAAUUGGUUUAACCCACCCAAAAUGAGUGCAUUUUCUCUAAGGAUAGCUAAUCUUAAUCAAAUGGUGUUGCCUUUUUUAUAAUGUACUUGUUGUUUUAUAAUGUACAUCGCCGGAGGUCGACCGGAGGCCCGCUGGAGAUCGGUUGGAGACAUCACCGAAGCUCGGCUGAAGAUUUUUCCAGAGUGGGAGUAGUUGACUUUUUUACAAUAGUGGCAUUUUCAUAAAUAUGAAAGAGACACUCUAAUUUUUUGGUUGGAUGACAAUCAAUAAUUUUGUUGAACUUCAAUGCCUAAAAUGAAACCCUAUUUUGGUCUGGGUGGACUUAUAUAGAUAAAAAUAUGGGAAAAUGCCCAUUUAGUACUAAUUCAAACCCUUUAUUUCUCAUUCCAAUGAUAAUCUUUUGCAUUAGCCCAUUUCAAUAUAAGGUAACCAUUUUUAUGCCCAAAUGCAUAAAUCUUUACUAAAGUCUUAACAAACCAUAUUAUUUUAAGACUAUUUUGCCCCCACCUCUUCAACAUGAAAAGACUUGGCCGGAACCUCGGACUCCGGUCACCGGAUUUUUCCCGACUGCCGGAUUCCGGUCACCGGAUUUUUCCCUGUAACCAGUUACUGACCCCCAAUAACCAGUUACUGACCAGUUACUCACACCCAAUAACCAGUUACUCACACCCAAUAACCAGUUACUGACCCCCAAUAACCAGUUACUGACCAGUUACUCACACCCAGUAACCAGUUACUGACAACCAAUAACCAAUUACUGACCCCCAAUAACCAGUUACUGAUCAGUUACUCACACCCAAUAACCAGUUACUGACCCGUUACUGACACCUAGUAACCAGUUACUGACUUUCACUAACCAGUUACUGACCUUCACUAACCAGUUACUGACACCCAGUAAACCGUUACUGACCCCCACUGACCAGUUACUGACACCUAGUAACUAGUUACUGACACCUAGUAACUAGUUACUGACACCUAGUAACUAGUUACUGACCCCCUGUAACCAAAUUACUAACCCUCAGUAACCGACUUAUUACCCUCUAAUAUACAUGUUUGUUGUCUUCCUGUUGAUAGAUACAUCAAUAACACAAAAAAUGAAAUCAAUAACUAAUGUUAUACUUGUAAUCACACAUGAAAGAAACUUAUAACUUGAGCAGAAAUAUAUUUUGAGAACAGAAUUGCAACAUACUGCACUUAAUUCACAAGAAAUCACAACACUGCAACCUAGCUAUUCUCUUCAACAAGGUGCGUGCCCACAGUUUGGAUUCGGUAUACCUAGCCGCACAUUUGUAUUCUUCUUUGUACUGCAAACUCAAACAAAUCCCAAUCACAUACAAACACAUAUAUAGAUAGUCAAUGAUACAGAGGAAGGAAGAAGGAGAAUUAAACCCUAACCUCGGAGAAAUCAACCUCGACCUUGGAUCUUACUCCUUGAGGAGCGAUGUAGUUGAUCUACACAUUCCGAUCCGUCGAUCCGAAGCCACCACCAUGCAGAUCGGUCAGACGCCAUCGUCACACAGUCCGACUCCACGAGCGGGAGCACAACCAGAAGCGCUAGCGCCUCGCAAUUCUGCUCGAGAUAAGUGGCCGGAGUCAGAGAUCGGCGAGCUCUGACGACGAAGCACGAGCCGGAUCUGGAUUCAAGCACGAGCCGGAUCUGGAUUCAAGCACGAGCUGAGGUUCGUCGUGUCGAGGCCGAGGAGCGUCACCGGCGUGGCUGAGGACCUCGCGGUUCUGCUCGGAAUAAGUGGCUGGAGUCAAAGAUCGGCGAGCUUUGACGACGAAGCACGAGCCGGAUCUGGAUUAAAGCACGAGCUGAGGUUCGUCGUGUCGAGGCCGAGGAGUGUCGCCGGCGUGGCUGAGGAGUAUCGCCGUCGAGGCUUCGACGGUUGAUGCCUUAACGAGAGAGAGAGAGAGAGAGAGAGAGAGAGAGAGAGAGAGAGAGAGAGAGAGAGAAUGAGAGAUAUUAGAUUUGAUUAGAGAGAGAAGAGUUUAAUUAUCAAUACAGGGUAUACUCGUAAUUUUAUUAAAAAUCAUUGAAAUGGGCUAAAAUAAAAGAUUUACAUUGAAGUGGGUAUUAAAAUCCCUGUUUUUGUGCAUUUGGGCAUUUUCCCUAAAAAUAUUUGGGUGGACCUAUAUAGGAAAAAAUGUCUGAAAGUGGACUUACAUGUAAUUGGACCUGUAUUUUUGUUCAUUUUACCGUAGCUAGGGUUUAACUGUUAGAUUUGAGUUUACUAUUAUUUUUGUUAAUUUGUGUUUUUUUUUUCUUCUUCUUUGUAGAUGAU
rnacentral:lncRNA from 1 species